CGUUGAUCUACACACAGGGCUUGCUACAACAUGUGAAAGUAGAUGGAUCCUCUGAACGAUACUAGAGAUGAGCAAAGGGAGGAGAAGAACAGGAAGCGGUGUGAGUCAUAUCAACGGGAAAAAGUCUGUGCUCCCUCAAUGACUGAUGAGCAAAGGGAGGAGAAGAACAGGAAGUGGCGCGAGGCAUAUAAGAGAAAGAAGUGUCAUGCACACAACAAGGAAAAUAUGCCAGGUUUGCACAUGUUCGAGUUAGCGGUUGGAUUGUCAGUGCCGAUCUCAUAUUGUGCACUCUGGUUCAAAUUACUGUUUCAUCUGACACCCUUUUAAUCUGCAGUGGAUUUAAAUACAAGUAAUCCUAUUACUAAUGCAUCCAACGUAUGCAUUAUUUCUGCAAUGGCUGAACAUACAUCAAGUACAUGUUCAUAUGUAAUUUUCUUGACUUCAUAUGCAAUUUUUCCAUGGCACAAAACCAACUCUCCACGUCUGCAGAUUCUGCUUUGCUCAAUCGGGGAAGUGAAAAUAUUCUGACUCCUCUGAAGACAGUUGAUAAAAAUAAUGAAAGAAAUAAAAAGUACCAUGAAGCUUAUCAGAAAAGGAGUGUUGAAACACAGAACAAAUCAAUUCCUGCAGAAAGAGAGACUUUUACUGAGGACCAUCCUUAUUCAAAUUCGCCCUCGGUAAACUUGGUGAAGCCUAAUUUCACCAAUGCCUACACAGAUGUCCCACCAGGUACUGGUUUGCUUAGUUUUGUACUUUUUUACCAUAUGUUCAAAAUGUAUGAUGUGCAGGUACUUACCUGGUUUCCUUUGUUUUGUACCAAAUUUUUUGGGUACAAACUGUGUGUUAGCAAAUCUACUGGCUUGUUUCUAUUAGCAAAUCAUUGUUUUGAUGCGUAGUUUACUGUUAAAUUCUGUAUAUCUAUAUAUAAAUAUGUUUGAUAAUUCUGCUAAAUUCUGCUAAAACAAAUUUCAGAUGUACCAUGUUCAUAUGGAUACCAUUGUUUAUGAAUAUUUUGUUGAAAUUUGAGAGUGCGAUUUCUUUUGUUUCAUCAUUGCAGAUUUGUGUGGUUAAUAUAAUAUCACUAUUUAGUCCUUAUGCUAAUAUUGAAGGGUACGCAUAUAAGUAUUGAUAGGCAUGCAUCUAUUAGUAUGGUCAUGUGAACUGUUUCAUGAUAAAUUGGACUCAUUAUACUACAAUUUUUUGGAUUUGUUUCAGGUUGGAAAGGGAUUGGUGAGUGUCAGCUCAGAAGUUCACAUUGCAGCAUGACCACCAUGUUGAGUGUCAGCUAAUAGAAACUGCAGAUGUUUAGUGUUCGGUUGGAUCAAAAAAAUCACUGCUUAUCAACCACUAUUUACCAAUGUUCAAUGUUCUGUAUCUGUCCUGUUGAUAUAUA